AGACGUCUACAUUAGAUACCCCGGUAGUCCUAACCGUAAACGAUACUCGCUAGGUGUCGGCCACGGUGCGACCGUUGUCGGUGCCGUAGGGAAGCCGUGAAGCGAGCCACCUGGGAAGUACGGCCGCAAGGCUGAAACUUAAAGGAAUUGGCGGGGGAGCACAACAACGGGUGGAGCUUGCGGUUUAAUUGGAUUCAACGCCGGAAAUCUUACCGGGACCGACAGCAACAUGAAGGCCAAGCUGAAGACUUUGCCGGAUUAGCUG
rnacentral:rRNA from 1 species